rnacentral:misc_RNA from 1 species
CGCACAUUGCGCCCCUUGGUAUUCCAUGGGGCAUGCCUGUUCGAGCAUCAUAUAUACCUUCAAGCUCUGCUUGGUGUUGGGCGCUGUCUUGCGACUCGCCUCAAAUUCAAAAAUCAUACGGCAGCGGCAUAUGGUGCAGCACAUGCGCCUGCCCCGUCCGCGAAAUCUUGUAUUUGACCUCGGAUCAGGUAGGGAUACCCGCUGAACUUAA